ensembl:snRNA U6 U6 spliceosomal RNA
GAUUUUGAAAAUACCGAUCAUAGAACAUAUACUAAAAUUGGAAUGAUACAGAGACAAUUAGCAUGGCCUCUGCACAAAGGAUGCCAUGCAAAUUUGUGAAGUGUUCCAUAUAAAA